rnacentral:rRNA from 1 species
CCAGACUCCUACGGGAGGCAGCAGUGGGGAAUAUUGCACAAUGGGGGGAACCCUGAUGCAGCGACGCCGCGUGGGUGAAGGAGCACCUCGGUGCGUAAAGCCCUAUCGGCAGGGAAGAAAAGCGAACAGGUUCGCCUGGACGGUACCCGACUAAGAAACCCCGGCUAACUACGUGCCAGCAGCCGCGGUAAUACGUAGGGGGCGAGCGUUAUCCGGAUUUACUGGGUGUAAAGGGAGCGUAGACGGUUCUGCAAGUCUGAGGUGAAAGCCCGUGGCUUAACCGCGGAACGGCUUUGGAAACUGUGGAACUGGAGUGCUGGAGAGGCAAGCGGAAUUCCUAGUGUAGCGGUGAAAUGCGUAGAUAUUAGGAGGAACACCAGUGGCGAAGGCGGUCUGCUGGGCAGCAACUGACGCUGAGGCGCGAAAGCGUGGGGAGCAAACAGGAUUAGAUACCCCUGUAAG